GAUGAAGAACGUAGCGAAAUGCGAUAAGUAAUGUGAAUUGCAGAAUUCAGUGAAUCAUCGAAUCUUUGAACGCACAUUGCGCCCGCCAGUAUUCUGGCGGGCAUGCCUGUUCGAGCGUCAUUACAACCCUCAGGCCCCCGGGCCUGGCGUUGGGGAUCGGCGGAAGCCCCCUGUGGGCACACGCCGUCCCUCAAAUACAGUGGCGGUCCCGCCGCAGCUUCCAUUGCGUAGUAGCUAACACCUCGCAACUGGAGAGCGGCGCGGCCAUGCCGUAAAACACCCAACUUCUGAAUGUUGACCUCGGAUCAGGUAGGGAUACCCGCUGAACUUAAGCAUAUCAAUAAGCGGAGGA
rnacentral:misc_RNA from 1 species